GUAGGGAAUAUUGCGCAAUGGACGAAAGUCUGACGCAGCGACGCCGCGUGAGUGAUGAAGGCCUUAGGGUCGUAAAGCUCUGUUGAAUGGGAAGAAAAAAAUGACGGUACCAUUCGAGGAAGGAACGGCUAACUUCGUGCCAGCAGCCGCGGUAAUACGAGGGGUCCUAGCGUUGUUCGGAAUCAUUGGGCGUAAAGGGUGUGUAGGUGGCCGUGUAAGUCAGGUGUGAAAGCCCCGGGCUCAACCCGGGAAGUGCACUUGGUACUGCGUGGCUUGAGUACCGAAGAGGGUAGUGGAAUUCCAGGUGUAGUGGUGAAAUACGUAGAUAUCUGGAGGAACACCGGUGGCGAAGGCGGCUACCUGGUCGAGUACUGACACUGAGACACGAAAGCAUGGGGAUCAAACAGGAUUAGAUACCCGGGUAGUCC
rnacentral:rRNA from 1 species